rnacentral:lncRNA from 1 species
AAUUCAGAAUCAGAGAUUCCCAGUGUUUUUUAAGGUGACAUAGACAAAAAGGAAAGUAUACUCUGACCCUCUAUCUGUGACAUAGAAGUUUUAAGUAUUUUUCUCAAGUCCACAGAGCAAGAGGAGAGAAAGGAAAGGAAUAAUAUUUUUACACUCAUUCCAGAUGAAAGCUAGGAUGCUUCAGCAUUAUUAUAGGGCAGAAACAUGCAUGGAAUAAUAGAAGAUUUCUAAGAAAACAAAACUGAAACUGUCCCGUAGAAUGAGUCUCUUAACAAG